GCCGGUGCUCAUAGCGAAGGGGUCACACCCGUUCCCAUCCCGAAUACGGUAGUUAAGCCCUUCAGCGCCAAUGGUACUUCAGUCGGAAGGCUGCGGGAGAGUAGGUUAGUGCCGGCU
rnacentral:rRNA from 2 species